GCCACGAGACCGAACAAGUGGAAAGUUGAAAAGAACUUUGAAGAGAGAGUUCAAGAGUACGUGAAACCGUUCAGGGGGAGAAACCCAAAAGAUCGAAUGGGGAGAUUCAGCGCGUGCACUUCUCCUAGUAGGACGUCGCGACCCGUUGGGUGUCGGCCGGUCGACUGGGACGGCCGACUGCCCGGCGGGGCCGCCGUUCGGCUCGGUCUCGCUCGUUGUCAUGCCUCGAACUCGG
rnacentral:rRNA from 1 species